rnacentral:rRNA from 1 species
GUGAGGAAUAUUGGUCAAUGGGCGCAAGCCUGAACCAGCCAUGCCGCGUGCAGGAAGACGGUCCUAUGGAUUGUAAACUUCUUUUAUUUGGGAAUAAACCCUCCGACGUGUUGGAGGCUGAAGGUACCAAAUGAAUAAGCACCGGCUAACUCCGUGCCAGCAGCCGCGGUAAUACGGAGGGUGCAAGCGUUAUCCGGAAUCAUUGGGUUUAAAGGGUCCGCAGGCGGAUUUAUAAGUCAGUGGUGAAAGCCUACAGCUCAACUGUAGAACUGCCAUUGAUACUGUAAGUCUUGAAUUCGGUCGAAGUGGGCGGAAUAUGACAUGUAGCGGUGAAAUGCAUAGAUAUGUCAUAGAACACCGAUAGCGAAGGCAGCUCACUAGGCCUGAAUUGACGCUCAUGGACGAAAGCGUGGGGAGCAAACAGGAUUAGAUACCCCGGUAGUCC